rnacentral:rRNA from 1 species
AGCAGCCGCGGUAAUUCCAGCUCCAAUAGCGUAUAUUAAAGUUGUUGCAGUUAAAAAGCUCGUAGUUGAAUUUCGGGAUCAGUGGGUCGGUCGUGCCACUGGUAUGCACUGGCCCUACUGGUUCCUCCCUCUUGUAGAACCGUAAUGCCAUUAAGUUGGUGUUGCGGGGAAACAGGACUGUUACUUUGAAAAAAUUAGAGUGUUUAAAGCAGGCUAACGCCUGAAUACAUUAGCAUGGAAUAAUGAAAUAGGACGAUCGAUCCUAUUUUGUUGGUUUCUAGGAUUGACGUAAUGAUUAAUAGGGAUAGUUGGGGGCGAUUAGUAUUCAAUUGUCAGAGGUGAAAUUACUUGGAUUUAUUGAAGACUGACUACUGCGAAAGCAUUUGCCAAGGAUGUUUUCAUUAAUCAAGAA